ACAUAGGUGGCAAGCGUUAUCCGGAAUUAUUGGGCGUAAAGAGUGAGUAGGUGGUUUCUUAAGUCUGAGGUCAAAUGCAGUAGCUCAACUACUGUUCGCUUUGGAUACUGAGAGACUAGAGUGCGAGAGGGGUAAAUGGAAUUCCAUGUGUAGCGGUGAAAUGCGUAGAUAUAUGGAGGAACACCAGUGGCGAAGGCGAUUUACUGGCUCGUAACUGACACUCAGUCACGAAAGCGUGGGUAGCAAAUAGG
rnacentral:rRNA from 1 species